CAUAAUUCUCUUAUCUUUCAGCUCCGUCUUAGUAAUAUUGUUAUCAUGGCUCGCAGUUAUGCUUUCUAUUUCACUUAUGGUGAUGUCUGUUUUAGGAAAUUUCAGAUUGCAAGGCCUUUGGCUAGUCUUUAAAAAAUAGCAGUAGCAAGCAGAGUGUAUAUGCAAUAGCAACAAAGUGAAACACGAAAAGGAAAAAAAAAACAGCAGCAGUGAAGCAGAGAAAGAAGGGAAAGACAAUAACAAUGGCCAAGAAGAAGAAGAAGAAGAAGAAGAAGAAGAAGAAGAAGAAGAAGAAGAAGAAGUUCAAGAGGAAGAAGAACUUUAAUAAGAAGUUCAAGAAGAAGAAGAACAAGUAAAAAGUCACAUACUGAGAAGCUGGAACAUCUUCAGGGAUAUGUUGCAUUCGAGUUUCAUCAUUUUCAUAGGCGCCAAAGUGAUCUUUUUUCAAUUUACUCUUGUACUUUCUCCGGGCAUCUUGAACUGAUUCCAAAGUCUAUUUUUUUCAGCUUCGGAAAUAUCAUUUUUAUCCUACAAUUGGUCUCAAAUCUGUUAGUGCAGAAAAUAUGAAAGAUUUUCAAACAAAAAUUAAAAAUUAAGAAGUUUAGACCUUGGUAUAUUCC